AUUGAACGCUGGCGGCAUGCUUUACACAUGCAAGUCGAACGGCAGCGCGGGCUUCGGCCUGGCGGCGAGUGGCGAACGGGUGAGUAAUGCAUCCGAACGUGCCCAGUAGUGGGGGAUAGCCCGGCGAAAGCCGGAUUAAUACCGCAUACGACCUGAGGGUGAAAGCGGGGGACCGAAAGGCCUCGCGCUAUUGGAGCGGCCGAUGUCGGAUUAGCUAGUUGGUGGGGUAAAGGCUUACCAAGGCGACGAUCCGUAGCUGGUCUGAGAGGACGACCAGCCACACUGGGACUGAGACACGGCCCAGACUCCUACGGGAGGCAGCAGUGGGGAAUUUUGGACAAUGGGGGCAACCCUGAUCCAGCCAUGCCGCGUGCGGGAAGAAGGCCUUCGGGUUGUAAACCGCUUUUGUUCGGGAAGAAAUCCUCUGGGCUAAUACCCCGGGGGGAUGACGGUACCGGAAGAAUAAGCACCGGCUAACUACGUG
rnacentral:rRNA from 1 species